AUGGGAGUUUUUUGUGGAAGUUUUAAAAAACCUCCAUAACAUAUUUUAUGUAUGGCAAAAUAUAAAAUCCCCAUUGAUUAAAGCUAGUUUAAACUUUUUAAGCCCAAUUUUCUAAACCAAUAACCAAUCUCUUAACCUACUUUGAUUAAACCUAAACAAUGCAAAUUUAACUCCAACCAAAAAUUGUCCAAAAAAUAUCGAAAAGGGAGAAGAUUGAGAAUGAACCCUAGAUCUACUAGCCGCCGCGGUAUUCAUCUCUUCGCCAUUGUCACCAUCAGGCAUCAAGCUCGUCGUAGCAUCUGAGAUCAGAGGGAGAAUAACCGGCGACGCCCGCGACGCCUCCUUGCCGAGGUCUAGGAGCAGGUUUCCAUCCUCAACUCCGCUUUCUCAUGGAAGGAGUCAGAUCGAGCCGCCGCCAAGCGCGCCACUCACGCGCUCGCCGAUCUUGCCAAAAACGAGGAAGUGGUGAACGUGAUUAUCGAAUGAGGAGCUAUUCCGGCUUUGGUUCAGCAAUCAGCACCUCCAAGCUCCUCCCGUGACGGAAGAAGACCCCGUUCCGAAGCUGUUGCUGUUUGAGCAUGAGGUUGAGAAAGUGAGUGCUUUUGCACUUGUACUUCUUGCCGCUGUAGUUGCCGCGUUAAAAGCUUCUGAAUCGAACCAAUGUUUCAGUGAAAGCAGUAAUGGAAUCAAAGUGCUUAAUGCUAAAAACACAAUGCAGAAAGCAAAGGAAAAGAAUCUAAAGGGUUCCAGAGAGAAGCAACAAUUCUCCACAGAGUCUUCAAUAACUUCUAUAUGUGUGGUGGAAACUGCAGGUGGAGUUGCGAGUCCCGAUGCUUCUGGAUCACUUUAAUGUGACUUAUAUAAGUGAAUUUGGUGCUCCAGAAUUUUGGUUCACUAUUUGCACAUUUCUGGAACAAUUUCUGCUUAUGAGAGCUUGACUCUUCGAGGUUAUGAUGUUGUUGCUGUUGUUUUGGAAGAUCACGGCCUUCUAAACGAGGGUCGAAUAAUGUCUUAUAUGUGGAACAAUAUGAUCUCUACUUAUAUACUGUUGUUCACUUCUUCAUGCAUGCUUCCUGUUCUAGUGCUACCCCCUGUUCCAAAAGGUUUGUUUCGAGUGGAAUAUUUGGUUUCAUCCUCAAAACUUUUUUGAUUAAUUGCCAUUUGUCUUUUAUCUUUUGUUAUUACUAUAUUUAUCUAUCUAGUUAUUUUUAAUAAUGCUUCUUAAAUCUAUGAAUUUUUAUUUUGCAAUACUACGUGGAAUAUCUUAGGAGACCGAACUAUCUUAAACUUGCUACACUUAGUGUUUAUUUUAGAAUUAGAGUCAUGAAUUCUAUACAAUUACUACAGGUGUCAUAUAUGGUGAUAAGUGAUAACUUGUUACUACAUGAUUCUAGUUUGUUGGUUUUUUUAAAGGCUCAGAGCACAGAAGUUGUAGCUCUGCUAUUUGAUGCCUGUGCUAGUUGGUGGACUCAAGGACCUAAUGCUAUAUUACAAGUCAUCCUCUCUUCUUUCUUUCUUCUUCUUCUUCUUCUCUCUCUUUUUUUCUCUCUCUCCAGCUGGUUAUUCUGAAAUAUGUUCUUUAUGUCUUUCUUUUAUUGUUAGAUGGGAUUGUAAAAUUGUUGGCUGAUUGUGGAAAAAACCUUGGUGGUUAUUUUGCUUGUAGUAGUGUACUUAGACUUGGUAUGUAUCUUGCUAUUAUAUGCCAAAUCUUUGCAAAGCUUAUUAAGAGUUGGAUGCACCUUAUCUAGUACUCAUAAAGUUAUUUUUAAUGUAUUUAUUUCUAAUAUUAUUAGUUAAAUUAGAUUAAGAUUGUUAUAUUUUUUCUAGAUUAUAUCAUUGGAACCGAAGCCAUUCACAGUUUGUGAGAUAAGUCUGAGAAGUGUUACAUUCUAGAUUAUAUCAUUACGCUCAGAGUCUUGUAGCUGCUAUUUCCUCAUAUCAAUUCUACUCCAUAAUGUGUUGUUUUGCCAAAAUAAUUGACUCUUGGGGUUACUUUCUUCAGAGUAAAAUAGUUAAUUACAAUGUGUAGCAGAUACUAAUCCACAAAUAACUUAUAGAAAAAAGUUCUCAAUAUUGAACCAAUAACAAAGUAAAAUAUCUUCUCUCUGUAUCCAUGCUUAAAGGGAUGCCUCAGCUUUCAGAGUUGGAAAUUUCUCAAUGCAAUCUUAUGAAAAAGGUAGUGUUUGAAGAUGAUGAUGCAAGUACAAUGAAUGAUGAAACUGGCGAAACUAUUCAGUUUCCAUUGCUCCAUUCUCUGUCUCUGCAACAUUUGGAUGCGCUUGAAUGCUUCUAUUCUCAUCAGCCAACAUCUUCUCCAAUAUUCCUUUUCAAUAAUCAAUGUGCCUCGGUCAUUCUUUUCAGGGUUGUAUUCUCUUGUAACCGAGUAUUAAAAUCUUGAAGGAGUUUCAUUUCCUUGAUUGGCAGAUGCUGGAGAUGCAUCAAUAUUGUAGUGAAGCUUUGUACGUAUGUCAAUUGGCCUUGUUAAUAUAUCUAACAGUCAUGUUUAGUGAAAUGAAGAUUGGUUCUGACUUAUUUUCACCAAGAAUAGAGAUGUUUUCCUUGCAUAUGUUCACAUGUUAACCACUAGCAUAUUAUUAAUUCAAUGGCUUAGUAACUCAUUUUCUCA